UUGAACUGCACGAAGCUUCAGUGAGGGACUCAGCUUCUCCUGAAUGGAGCAACGCUGUGACGACUCUCCAGUUGUCCUCUGAGGCAAAGGGAUGAAUGGCAAAUGUCCUUUCUGGAGUAGGUGGGUGGUUUGGGGAUGGAGGAUGACUGACGAACUAAGCCAAUCCCUGGGAACACACCUAGCUGAGAGUCUUCAUCUGCCACCUCUCUCAGAAGUGGCUGAAGUAAGAACCUGAAGGAGGUGUCUAGAUCCUGAAGGAGGCACCAGGAUGACAUUCAACUGCACCUCUGAGAAAGGUUUAAUUGAGGAGGAAAGACCUACCACAGAUGUGGGCGGCGCCAUCCCUUGGGCUGGAGGCCUGGAUGGAGUAAACACGGGAAAGCAUGCCGAGCACCAGCGUCCAUCUUUCUGCUUCCUGACUGUGGACACGAAGUGGCCAGCUGCCCCCUGCUCCUGUCACCACUCUCAUCUCGAUGGACUUAAUCACCAAACGCAAAAUAAACCCAUCUUCCUUAAAGUGUCCGUGUGGCUUGAGUGAGAACGGCCCCCCUAGAUGUAGAACUCCAGGCUCCUUCUCCAGCACCGUGUCUGCCUGCAUGCCGCCAUGCCUCACACCAUGAUGAUAAUGGACUAAAUCUCUGAACUGUAAGUCGCCCCAAUUAAAU